UCCAGACUCCUACGGGAGGCAGCAGUGGGGGAUAUUGCACAAUGGGGGGAACCCUGAUGCAGCGACGCCGCGUGGGUGAAGGAGCGUUUCGGCGCGUAAAGCCCUAUCGGCAGGGAAGAAGGAGGACGGUACCUGACUAAGAAGCCCCGGCUAACUACGUGCCAGCAGCCGCGGUAAUACGUAGGGGGCAAGCGUUAUCCGGAUUUACUGGGUGUAAAGGGGGCGCAGACGGCGGCGCAAGCCAGGAGUGAAAGCCCGGGGCCCAACCCCGGGACUGCUCUUGGAACUGCGCGGCUGGAGUGCAGGAGGGGCAGGCGGAAUUCCUGGUGUAGCGGUGAAAUGCGUAGAUAUCAGGAGGAACACCGGUGGCGAAGGCGGCCUGCUGGACUGCGACUGACGUUGAGGCCCGAAAGCGUGGGGAGCAAACAGGAUUAGAUACCCUAGUAA
rnacentral:rRNA from 1 species